UACGUAGGGUGCAAGCGUUAAUCGGAAUUACUGGGCGUAAAGCGUGCGCAGGCGGUUUUGUAAGUCUGUCGUGAAAUCCCCGGGCUCAACCUGGGAAUUGCGAUGGAGACUGCAAGGCUAGAAUCUGGCAGAGGGGGGUAGAAUUCCACGUGUAGCAGUGAAAUGCGUAGAGAUGUGGAGGAACACCGAUGGCGAAGGCAGCCCCCUGGGUCAAGAUUGACGCUCAUGCACGAAAGGCGUGGGAGCAAACAGG
rnacentral:rRNA from 1 species